UGUAAAAUUUUAAAGGUCGAACAGACCUAAAAUUCUAGCUUCUACACCAAAAUUUAAUUUUAAUCCAACAUCGAGGUCGCAAACUUUUUUAUCGAUAAGAACUCUCCAAAAAAAAUUACGCUGUUAUCCCUAAGGUAAUUUAGUCUUAUAAUCCAAAUAAUAGGAUCAAAUAUUCAUAAAUAAAUGUUACAAACAAAAAAAAGUUUAUCAAAUUUUUCCAUCGCCCCAACGAAAUAUUUAAUUAAAAAUAAAAGAAUAAAUUCAAUAACCAAUAAAUUCAACCAAAUAUAAAACUCUAUAGGGUCUUCUCGUCUUUAUAAAAAAUUUAAGCUUUUUCACUUAAAAUUGAAGUUCUAAACCAUUUAUAUAGAGACAGUUAUUUUCUCAUCAAACCUUUCAUUCCAGCUUUCAAUCAAAAAACUAAUGAUUAUGCUACCUUUGCACAGUCAAAAUACUGCGGCCAUUCAAAAAUCAUUGGGCAGGCCAGACUUUAAAUCAAAAUCAAAAAGAC
rnacentral:rRNA from 1 species